rnacentral:tRNA from 1 species
GGGCGAUUAGCUCAGUGGGAGAGCGCUACCUUGACACGGUAGAGGUCACUGGUUCGAUCCCAGUAUCGCCCA